rnacentral:rRNA from 1 species
UACGUAGGCAGCGAGCGUUGUUCGGAAUCACUGGGCUUAAAGCGAGUGUAGGCGGGCCGUUAAGUGUCUUGUGAAAUCCCCCGGCUCAACCGGGGAAUUGCUGGGCAUACUGGCGGUCUUGAGCAGUUCAGGGGCAGAUGGAACAAGUGGUGGAGCGGUGAAAUGCGUAGAUAUCACUUGGAACGCCAACGGUGAAAACAGUCUGCUGGGAACUUGCUGACGCUGAGACACGAAAGCCAGGGGAGCGAACGGG